UACGUAGGGGGCAAGCGUUGUCCGGAUUUAUUGGGCGUAAAGAGCGUGUAGGCGGCCAGAUAGGUCCGUUGUGAAAACUGGAGGCUUAACCUCCAGCUGUCGAUGGAAACCAUCUGGCUAGAGUCCGGAAGAGGAGAGUGGAAUUCCUGGUGUAGCGGUGAAAUGCGCAGAUAUCAGGAAGAACACCCGUGGCGAAAGCGGCUCUCUGGAACGGUACUGACGCUGAAGCACGAAAGCGUGGGGAGCAAACAGG
rnacentral:rRNA from 1 species